ACGAACUACUACUGGGGUCAGAAUUAGUUCACGUCUUCAGCAUCAAACUGCUAAUGAUCAGCUAUUGAUAAAUGUUACAACUGAAGAGCAAAAUGAUAAUGUGAUGUCAGCCAGUAAUCAAGACCCUCCUACAGGUCCAACAAAAAAGGUGCGGGGAAAGACAAGAGGAGUGAAUGCAGAUAAGGUGCUUUCUCAAUUGAAUGCUAAAAUACAUGUCACUCUGACCGAACAAAAUGGUAGGCCUACAGGCCCAUAUUCUGAAAUGUUGGCCAAUGAAAUUGGUUUCACAGUUCGAAACCAUGCCCCACUAAAUGUGGAAAAAUAGAAGAAGAUUCCAAAAAUUGAAGUGGAUAAGUUGGUUAAAAGAAUAACGAACAAGUUUGACAUUGACAUGUCUCUCCCUUGGGUCGAGAGAUAUGUAAUUACAACAUGUCAGACUGUAUUUUGUAAUUUUCGUUAUAAGUUGAAGAAACAUUUUGAGAAAUUUUCAACAAUCGAGGAAGCAAUUGAAAACAAACACGAUGAUGUCAAGACUCAGGAAGAAUGGGAGUUUCUCUGUGUUCGUUUUUCUAGUGAAAAGUUUCAGGUACAAUAUUGUUUAUUUUUUUAACUAUUUUUCAACACAGUUCACUUUUUUGUUAUCUUAGUUUUCGUUUUUAUUCAGAUUCCAACUAACUGUUGGAUAUUUCAUAAUAAUUUUCAGAUUCGUUCAGAGAAGAAUGCUAUAAAUAGGUCAAAGUUGACACAUCACCACAAAGCUGGGUCAAAGUCAUUUAUGUCUCACCAAGAGCAAAUUGUAAGAUAUUUAUAAAUUUUGUUAAUAAAUUUAUAGCUUCAAUAUAUAUUUGUAGAUGUUAAAAGAAUAUGUUUGAAUGCAAUAGGCAGCACAGACUGGACAGAUGCACGAUGCAAUUGAUCGCUUUGAAACAGAGUACAAAAGCACUAAAAAAGGUUGGGACUUGGGAGCAAAAGCAAAGUGGGUAAGUAACUUGUUAACGAGAAAUUGAUCAGGUUGUAAUUGAGAAAUUGCAUAUCAUAUCUAACUGUAUAUAUUUUUUAUUGUAGGAUGAAAUGAUUAAGAUGCGAACUGAGACAACUCAACCUGAUGGAACUCGAACAAUGACAGAUGAUGAAAUUUGUGCAAAAGUCCUCGGAGUCAAAUCAGGCUACAUCAAGGGUUGUGGUUUUGGCCCUAGACCUCCACCAUCAAGGGUCUCUCAUUUGUCGAUAAAUGAAAUGUCUGAAAAGAACAAAGAGUUGCAAGAACAGCUUUAAGAGACCCAACACCUUGUAGGGACUCAACAACAAAAUAUUGAUGCACAAAAUGAGGUGAUCCAAAGAUUGGAGGAGCAAGCCAAAAAGUUUGAGGAGUUCAUGGCUAACUUUUCCAGGCAACAUCCAUCAAGUUAGUAUCUUUAUUAGAGAACUUAAACAUGGAGAAAUAAUUUUUUAGAUCAUCUUGAUUUUGUUAUUGGUUUUAGACUAUUUUUGUUACUCCUUAUGUUAGGAAACACUUUGAUUGUUACUUUGG